ensembl:lncRNA LINC00343 long intergenic non-protein coding RNA 343
GGCAGUUAGGCUGUUAGGAAGGCAGUUAGGCUGCAGUGAAUUCUACAAAGAGGCUAUGGGAAAGAAACCUGGAAAGGUAGGGAGGUAUGGAUAUGGACAAGCUAUGCCAAGGAGCAGGGCUUUGUCAUGGAGAGUGACUAGGUGCUUUUACAUAGGAAAGUCACCUGAUAAUAUUAAAACCUGUGAAAUAUCACUCUGGUGGAAGUGUGAAUGAAUUUGAAAGGGGUGUAACACUGUUCUACUUUGUUUACUCCUCAGUACCCUUGGCUGUGUACAUUUGAGUAAAGAGAGCACUAUAAAAUCAAAAACCAAUGAAAUGGUUUCCAGAACACAGAACUAUUAAGCUUAAGAAAAGGACAGAAGGAACUGAAGAGAGAGGAACUGUUUUGGAGCAUCACACUUCCACCUCAGAAGAAAUAAGGAAGGAAGGAGGAGGGUGUUCCCACGGCUCUUCAACCAGGCCGGCUCUUCAGCCUACAUCCCCAUCUCAUCAAGUAAAAGGGAUUUUUCAACUGGACCAACCAGAUGGUUUAACAGUGCACUCCCACACCAUUCAACUACGCAAGGGAGAUACACUUAACAUAUGCAGUCGUAUAACACCUACUAACAUUUUCAAACAUUAAACCUUUAAAAAAGAGUUCUAAAGAAAUAGAAGCUUGAAGUAUCAUCUCUCAAGUAUAUAGACACUACUUCAUGGUGUGGUAAUAUAUGCAUAUAGAAGCUAGUAAACACCUCCAGGAGAUGCAAAAGGAAUUAGAACUGCCACAAGGUGCAAGCAAAACCUUGAGGUAAUCAAUCUGCAUCCCAUUUUGGAUGAGAAUAUUUGCAACUUUGAAGGUUAUUUUAAGGACAGCAGCAGAAGAAUUAUGGCAGGUAUCUGAAAUUCAUUUCUGUGCUUUGCCGAGGACCCAUGGGAUGCCAUUUGCAGAUGAGAAAACUAAAGAAUAGCUUUAUCUUCCAGCUCUUCACGGAAAAAAAAAUGGCAACAAUAAAAUCAGCAACUCCUGCCAAAUAAAUGGGCAUAAAAAAGAAAUCAUAGACUGCUGGCAAUGGUGGGGAAAAAGUUAUAAAAAUUGUCUCUGCACCAUCUUCCUUUUGUCCUCUAAAAUAUUCACAUUAGCAAAAGUAUAUAACAGCUGAUGAAGAAAUACUGAUAAUUUGUCUUUUUCUGUUUUUCCUCUUCUAAUCCUUCACCCAUCUGAGCUAAAGUCUAGACCUAAGGAGGCUACUAAUUCAGGGAUCGAGUAAUCUGCCAAGCAAGAGUUUAUUCAAGCACAGUUUGAAAUAAAGGUUUCAAAUGCAUAGCCUGUCGAUACUUUGGAAGGAUUCUCAUCAUAACGAGUAUGCAAUUUGCUAUAAAGAAGAAUGCCCAUUACGGACUAAAUGUUUAUGUCCUCCUAAAAUUCAUAUGUUGAAGGCCUAACUCUCAAUGUGAUGAUUAUGUGGAGAUGGUGCCUUUGGGAGGUAACUGGGCUUAGAUGUGGGCGUGAGGGUGGGGCCUCAUGGUGAAAUUUGUGCCCUUGUAAGAAAAACACACCACAGGUUUUCAUUCUUCCUCUGCCACAUGAGGCCACAGUAAGAAUGUGACCAUCUGCUAGCCAGGAGGAAAGUCCUCACUGGAACCCGCCCAUAAUAACACUCCAGUCUGGGGCUUUUCAGCCUCCAGAACCAUGAGAAAUAAAUUUCUAGUGUUUAAGUCAC